UACGUAGGGGGCAAGCGUUGUCCGGAUUUAUUGGGCGUAAAGAGCGUGUAGGCGGCUCGAUAAGUCUGCUGUGAAAGUCCAGGGCUCAACCCUGGAAGGCCGGUGGAAACUGUCGGGCUAGAGUCCGGAAGAGGCGAGUGGAAUUCCCGGUGUAGCGGUGAAAUGCGCAGAUAUCGGGAGGAACACCAAUGGCGAAGGCAGCUGCUGGGACGGUACUGACGCUGAGACGCGAAAGCGUGGGGAGCAACAGGG
rnacentral:rRNA from 1 species